rnacentral:tRNA from 1 species
GAAUAUAAAAUUUAAGCUUCUAACUUAAAAUACAGCGCCAAGUUGAUAUUUCU